CCCUCCCUAUAUUUCCUUCCAAUUCCCUUCGUUUCCAUCGGCUCCAAUCAACACUCUUUCAAUUCCCUCAUGCACCCAUUUCGUCGUUUUAUCUAAAGACUAUGCUUCUUCGAAAACAUGCUUGGCUCAACUCUCUGACAUCAGGAGGCGCAGGAGCACUCAAAAACAUGUUGUUAUGCCCGUCUUUUAUCACGUUAAACCUUCUGAUGUGCAGAAGAAUCUCGAAGAGAGUUUCAAAGGGCAACCUCAAGUGCAACAAUGGAAGGAGGACUUAGCUGAAGUCUGUGGAUUGCAAGGGUGGACUAUAGAAGGAAGCUAUUCUGAUAGAUCUGAUCCCGAAUACAUUAAAGAUGUCUUUCAAGAUGUCAUAAAAAAGUUGAAUAAGCGUUUCAGAUGGUUUGAUUGGAAUAGAUGACCAGAAAGGAAAAUUUUUGAAGCUGAUUAAACAAGAAGACAAACGUGCAAUAGGACUUUGGGGAGUUGGUGGUAUAGGCAAAACUACCCUUGCUGAUGCUGUAUACAAUGAACUGACCUGAGUUUGAAACUCAUUGCUUUGUUCAAAACGUUAGAGAGGAAUUUGAAGAAGAAGAAGAAAAAGAAUGCAAUCUGUAAGAAAUGAACUUCUCUCCAAACUACUGGCCGUUACAGUUGAUAUAUAGACACCCCCUCCACAGGAAAAAUUGCUUGCACAAGGGUGCAAUGAGUGGAAUAAGGAAUAAGUCUCUACUUUCUAGUGAUUCUUCUAGACAAAUUUUGUGAAAUGACGGUGAAAUUCACAAUUUUUAUUAAUGCUUGUGUAUGCUGAUGCAACUUCUGGAUAAUGCAUAGGUGGAGGUUAUUUUGGAAGGCAUCAGUUGACAGAUUACAUUGUCAUGCUAAUAAAAGCAUUUGGAGUUGAUCAGUUUGCGGAUGUUGCUGCCUUUCAAGUUGUUUGAGAAUUAAUGAAAACUCGAAUCGAAUUUCAUUUUCUUUUCAAGUUGUAGAUGUAUAGGACAUGGGCUAAGUGAAUUGAGGAAAAUGUUUAACCCAACUUCACUUGGGUUGAGCAUGGAAUUAAUCUGGUUUCUAGGGUAUUUGUCUUCAGGUUGUUUGCGUGGGUGAAAAGGUUUUGUUGGGUUUAGCUGUGAUUUUAGUUGAAUUUUGUGAUUUUUUGCAUGUGUUGCAAGGUUUAAGUUGUUUUCAG